UCACUCCUACGGGAGGCAGCAGUGGGGAAUAUUGCACAAUGGGGGAAACCCUGAUGCAGCCAUGCCGCGUGUGUGAAGAAGGCCUUCGGGUUGUAAAGCACUUUCAGUAGGGAGGAAGGUAGUGUAGUUAACACCUGCAUUAUUUGACGUUACCUACAGAAGAAGCACCGGCUAAUUCCGUGCCAGCAGCCGCGGUAAUACGGAGGGUGCGAGCGUUAAUCGGAAUUACUGGGCGUAAAGCGCAUGCAGGCGGCCUGUUAAGUCAGAUGUGAAAGCCCCGGGGCUUAACCUCGGAAUUGCAUUUGAAACUGGCAGGCUAGAGUCUUGUAGAGGGGGUAGAAUUUCAGGUGUAGCGGUGAAAUGCGUAGAGAUCUGAAGGAAUACCAGUGGCGAAGGCGGCCCCCUGGACAAAGACUGACGCUCAGAUGCGAAAGCGUGGGGAGCAAACAGGAUUAGAUACCCUGGUAG
rnacentral:rRNA from 1 species